CCAGCAGCCGCGGUAAUCAUACGGAGGAUGCAAGCGUUAUCCGGAAUUAUUGGGCGUAAAGCGUCCGCAGGUGGCUCAUCAAGUCUGCUGUCAAAGGCAGGGGCUUAACCCCUGAAAGGCAGUGGAAACUGGAGAGCUAGAGUGCAGUAGGGGUAGAGGGAAUUCCCGGUGUAGCGGUGAAAUGCGUAGAGAUCGGGAAGAACAUCGGUGGCGAAAGCGCUCUGCUGGACUGCAACUGACACUAAAGGACGAAAGCUAGGGGAGCGAAUGGGAUUAGAUACCCCAGUAGUC
rnacentral:rRNA from 1 species